AAGACAUUGAUGACUGCGUGAACAGUUGGUGCAGCACCAACUCAGUAUGUAAGGACCUCCAUCUGAGUUAUGAGUGUGUGUGUCGUUCUGGCUGGGAGGGGGAGUACUGCCAACAAGAAAUUGAUGAAUGUUUAUCACAACCCUGCAAAAACAACGCCACCUGCACAGACCUUCUCAACAGCUACAAGUGUUUGUGCUCACGAGGCUGGACAGGUGUGGACUGUACAGAGGAUGUGAAUGAGUGCGAUUCUGGCCCUUGUCUAAAUGGA